rnacentral:rRNA from 1 species
ACAGAGGGUGCGAGCGUUAAUCGGAAUUACUGGGCGUAAAGCGCGCGUAGGCGGUUUGUUAAGUCGGAUGUGAAAUCCCCGGGCUCAACCUGGGAAUUGCAUUCGAUACUGGCAAGCUAGAGUAUGGGAGAGGAAGGUAGAAUUCCAGGUGUAGCGGUGAAAUGCGUAGAGAUCUGGAGGAAUACCGAUGGCGAAGGCAGCCUUCUGGCCUAAUACUGACGCUGAGGUGCGAAAGCAUGGGGAGCAAACAG